rnacentral:rRNA from 1 species
UCUCCUACGGGAGGCAGCAGCCGCGGUAAUCCCGAGGUUGCGAGCGUUAUCCGGAUUUAUUGGGUUUAAAGGGUGCGUAGGCGGACUGUCAAGUCAGCGGUAAAAUUGAGAGGCUCAACCUCUUCCCGCCGUUGAAACUGGUGGUCUUGAGUGGAUGAGAGGUACGCGGAAUGCGUGGUGUAGCGGUGCAAUGCAUAGAUAUCACGCAGCACUCCGAUUGCGAAGGCAGCGUACCGGCAUCCAACUGACGCU